UACGAAGGGGGCGAGCGUUGUUCGGAAUUACUGGGCGUAAAGGGCGCGCAGGCGGCCCUUGAAGUCAGGCGUGAAAGCCCCGGGCUCAACCUGGGAGGUGCGCUUGAUACUCGAGGGCUUGAGUGCGGGAGAGGAGAGUGGAAUUCCCAGUGUAGAGGUGAAAUUCGUAGAUAUUGGGAAGAACACCGGUGGCGAAGGCGGCGACCUGGGCCAAUAUUGACGGCUGAGGUGCGAAAGCGUGGGGAGCAAACAGG
rnacentral:rRNA from 1 species